rnacentral:rRNA from 1 species
UACAGAGAGUGCAAGCGUUAAUCGGAAUCACUGGGCGUAAAGCGCAUGUAGGUGGGUAUUUAAGUCGGAUGUGAAAUCCCUGGGCUUAACCUGGGAAUUGCAUUCGAUACUGGAUAUCUAGAGUAUGGUAGAGGGAAGUGGAAUUUCCGGUGUAGCGGUGAAAUGCGUAGAUAUCGGAAAGAACAUCAGUGGCGAAGGCGGCUUCCUGGACCAAUACUGACACUAAAGUGCGAAAGCGUGGGUAGCAAACAGG